rnacentral:lncRNA from 1 species
CGUUUUAUCUUGUUAACGAUUGACUAACUUCUGUUAGAAUCAAUGUAGAUUUAAGCACAUUUUAAAAAGUUCAGAUAGUUUUUUUUGAAUUAAAAUUGAGUUGAAGUCGUAUUUGGCACUGAUCAAUUGUUCGGAUCGUAUUUGACACGACCGAAAUUGUUGGGAUCGAAGUUGGCACUUUUCCCUUGUAAUGCAUGUCAUUCACAGUUUUUGCAAUGUGUUUCGUGAUGUUAGGAGUUUUCAAGGCUCCUAAGACAAAUGUUGUAGUAUAGUGAUUGUCGAACCAGUUCUGAGGGAUAUCAAAGCACUGAGAAUGCAAGUACUCACUUAAUCUAAGUGCAACCAAUGAUUUAGAUGGAUUUUAAGCUAUGACU